CAUUGAAACUGGAGAUCUUGAGUGCAAACGAGGUAGGCGGAAUGUGACGUGUAGCGGUGAAACGCUUAGAUAUGUCACAGAACCCCGAUUGCGAAGGCAGCUUACCAGCAUGCAACUGACGCUGAGGCACGAAAGCGUGGGUAUCAAACAGGAUUAGAUACCCCGGUAGUCCACGCAGUAAACGAUGAAUACUAGCUGUUGGCGAUAUAAUGUCAGCGGUACAGCGAAAGUGUUAAGUAUUCCACCUGGGGAGUACGCCGGCAACGGUGAAACUCAAAGGAAUUGACGGGGGCCCGCACAAGCGGAGGAACAUGUGGUUUAAUUCGAUGAUACGCGAGGAACCUUACCCGGGCUUGAAAGUUAGUGAAUGAGAUGGAGACAUUUCAGUCCUUCGGGACACGAGACUAGGUGCUGCAUGGUUGUCGGCAGCUCGUGCCGUGAGGUGUCGGCUUAAGUGCCUUAACGAGCGCAACCCUUGUUGUUAGUUGCCAUCAGGUAAUGCUGGGAACUCUAACAAGACUGCUACUGUAAGGUAGAGGAAGGUGGGGAUGACGUCAAAUCAGCACGGCCCUUACGUCCGGGGCGACACACGUGUUACAAUGGUCGGUACAGAGGGUUGCUACCUGGCGACAGGAUGCUAAUCUCAUAAAACCGGUCUCAGUUCGGAUCGGAGUCUGCAACUUGACUCCGAGAAGCUGGAUUCGCUGGUAAUCGCGCAUCAGCCAUGGCGCCGUGAAUACGUUCCCGGGCCUUGUACACAC
rnacentral:rRNA from 1 species